rnacentral:rRNA from 1 species
UACGUAGGGGGCAAGCGUUGUCCGGAGUUACUGGGCGUAAAGCGCACGCAGGCGGUCGCGUAAGAGUGCGGGGACAGUGGGCGGCUUAACUGCCCAAGGGUCGCACAGACUGCGUGACUGGAGGGCCAGAGAGGGACCUGGAAUUCCGGGUGGAGCGGUGAAAUGCGUAGAUAUCCUGAGGAACACCAAUGGCGAAGGCAGCUUUCUGGCGCGAUACUGACGCUGAGGCUCGAAAGCGUGGGGAGCGAACGGG